GUAGAAUAAUCACUGUAAGAGAG
rnacentral:piRNA from 1 species